rnacentral:rRNA from 1 species
CCUACGGGAGGCAGCAGUAGGGAAUUUUCGGCAAUGGGGGGAACCCUGACCGAGCAACGCCGCGUGAACGAAGAAGUUAUUCGUAAUGUAAAGUUCUUUUAACAGGGAAGAAAGAGAAAUUUGACGGUACCUGAAGAAUAAGCUCCGGCUAACUACGUGCCAGCAGCCGCGGUAAUACGGAGGAUGCGAGCGUUAUCCGGAUUUAUUGGGUUUAAAGGGUGCGCAGGCGGAAGAUCAAGUCAGCGGUAAAAUUUAGAGGCUCAACCUCUUCGAGCCGUUGAAACUGGUUUUCUUGAGUGAGUGAGAAGUAUGCGGAAUGCGUGGUGUAGCGGUGAAAUGCAUAGAUAUCACGCAGAACUCCGAUUGCGAAGGCAGCAUACCGGCGCUCAACUGACGCUCAUGCACGAAAGUGUGGGUAUCGAACAGGAUUAGAUACCCCUGUAGUC